CCUACGGGAGGCAGCAGUGGGGGAUAUUGCACAAUGGGGGAAACCCUGAUGCAGCGACGCCGCGUGUGGGAAGACGGUCCUCUGGAUUGUAAACCACUGUCCCCAGGGACGAAGAUGACGUUCCCUGGGGAGGAGGCUCCGGCUAACUACGUGCCAGCAGCCGCGGUAAUACGUAGGGAGCAAGCGUUGUCCGGAUUUACUGGGUGUAAAGGGAGCGUAGGCGGGAUGGCAAGUUGGGUGUUAAAUCUACCGGCUCAACUGGGAGUCGCACUCAAAACUGCUAUUCUUGAGUGAAGUAGAGGCAGGCGGAAUUCCUAGUGUAGCGGUGAAAUGCGUAGAUAUUAGGAGGAACACCAGUGGCGAAGGCGGCCUGCUGGGCUUUUACUGACGCUGAGGCUCGAAAGUGUGGGGAGCAAACAGGAUUAGAUACCCGGGUAGUC
rnacentral:rRNA from 1 species